rnacentral:rRNA from 1 species
GACGGGGAGCAGCAGGCGCGAAAACUUUGCAAUGUGCGAAAGCACGACAAGGUUAAUCCGAGUGAUUCCUGCUAAAGGAAUCUUUUGUUAGUCAUAAUACCACUGAUGAAUAAGGGGUGGGCAAGUUCUGGUGUCAGCCGCCGCGGUAAAACCAGCACCUCAAGUGGUCAGGAUGUUUAUUGGGCCUAAAGCAUCCGUAGCCGGCUUUGUUAGUUUUCGGUUAAAUCCUUAUGCUCAACAUAUGGGCCGCCGGGAAUACUACAAAGCUAUGGAGUGGGAGAGGUAGACGGUACUCCGUGGGAAGGGGUAAAAUCCUUUGAUCUAUGGAUGACCACCAGUGGCGAAGGCGGUCUACCAGAACACGUUCGACGGUGAGGGAUGAAAGCUGGGGGAGCAAACCGGAUUAAUACCCGGGUAGUCCCAGCUGUAAACUAUGCAAACUCAGUGAUGCAUUGGCUUGUGGCCAGUGCAGUGCCGCAGAGAAAUCCUUAAGUUUGCCGCCUGGGAAGUACGUACGCAAGUAUGAAACUUAAAGGAAUUGGGGGGGGAGCACAAUCUCUAAAGGAUCCCCGGGUAC